UACGGGGGGGGCAAGCGUUGUUCGGAAUUACUGGGCGUAAAGGGCUCGUAGGCGGCCAACUAAGUCGGAUGUGAAAUCCCCAGGCUUAACCUGGGAACUGCAUCCGAUACUGGAUGGCUUGAAUCCGGGAGAGGGAUGCAGAAUUCCAGGUGUAGCGGUGAAAUGCGUAGAUAUCUGGAGGAAUACCGGUGGCGAAGGCGGCGUUCUGGACUGCAACUGACACUGAGGAACGAAAGCCAGGGGAGCAAACGGG
rnacentral:rRNA from 1 species